AUGAUAUCUUCAGCAUCUUAUUUUAUUUCAAUGCGGGAGUCACUGAUGUAUUGGUGGUUGAACACAGGUGGCAGUUCGUCAUCUUCAUCCCGAUCCAAGAAGAGGAAACGAUCUUCGAGCAAGAGUCGAAGUCGCUCCUCAGAGCAGAAAGCUCGCAAGCAGAAGCCGAUCUUCCCUCUGCGGGACCGGAACCCCGAUUUCGGUCCCAACCCUAACUUCCCUCAGAAGAAAAAGCGUGACGAGGACGACGAUGAUGACGAUGACGAUGACGAUGAUGACGAGGAGGAGGAAAGAAAGCGCGAAUUAAGGCGUAGAGAAGAAACGGAACGCCAGCGACAGGCCACUCUCUUCAAUCUCAGUAGACCUAGUCAGCCUGAAUUUGACAGGGAUCGCUUCGAGCGGGAGCAAGCUCUUCUUAGAAAUCGACCUAAUCAGCCUGAAUUUGACAGGGAUCGCUUCGAGCGGGAGCAAGCUCUUCUUAGAAAUCGACAGCGGCAGGAUGGAGAGGUCCCACAGGAGUUGUUGAAUAUUAUUCAGCCAGCAUUUCUGCCAGAGUCACGACGGGAAAUAACACGAUUUGAGCAACGUCCGUCGGAAGUCCGAACAAUGCAAGUGCCGCUUACGAAGACCAAUGUUCAAUCAGUUACUACAAUGCAGGGCCUACAAGACCGGCCAGAGCAGUCGUCAAUCCUCAGAAAACCGCCAAGAAUGAUGGCGGGGUUGGGCAACCCGGAGGAUGUAGCUCGAAGUAUGUUAAAUUUUUGAAGGAUCGCAUAUUGCGUCUAUUAAUUUAUUUAGGACGUCAGGACAGCGGGGUGACUAUUGAAAUUGAUAAAAAAAACUAUAGACAAAAGAGACAUAAGGAGUAUGGAGCUAUUCUAUUGGUUGAAAUGGAUGGUUCCUAUGGACUAAGGGAGAAAAAGAUGAACUAACUAUCGGGUCUCUCGUCGGUUGCCGUUAGUUUGUCUAUUGCCUACCUCCUUUGUCCAUUGCAAUUACCACUUGCUUCCACCUAUAGGAUCCCUCCAUAUUUGUUUUUCUUAUUUGUCUAUAGCUUUGUCUAUCAAUUUCAAUAAUCGGCCCACAGUGGAUGCGGAUUUCCUUACAAGUACGUUUAGUUCACUUCACUAAAUGCUUUUCAGCCCGAAGGACCGUCUUCAGUAGCGAUGACAAUGGGCCUGCUGUUGCAAACUUCAGCUAGAGCAAGAGGAAGAGUUGUUUCCUGCAGAGAAUGACUCAAAAAUCACGAUAAGUGCACAAUCUGCGUAAAAAAUAUGCUUUUUUAAGCUUUUCGCUUCAAAACCGAUUUUACGGCACAGGUUAACAUUUCUUAAGAUGAGUCGUUCCAUCCAACCCUUGCGCGCUACGAUACUACGCAAUAUUCAACAUGGCUGACAAUUCCGCGCGGAAAUCGUGAGGAAGCACCAGGGUCUUUAUCAACGCAAGGAAAAUGUAAAUAUAAAAAGGCUGAUCGAUAAAAAACCAUCUCGUCACGUGUGUUUUGGCGGGAUGGCGUAGGCCAUGUGGACGUAUUUCUAUCAAACGGAACUAUUUGCAUUAUGACGUGAGCCCUAUUAUGCAAGUAAUUCUUAUGGGUCUCAGGGCUCUUGUCUUAAUGCACAAUGUUCCGUUUGGCAGAAAUACGCCCAUGUUGAAGAUUGCGUAGCAUCCUAGUCGCAAGUGUUGGAUGAAACGACUCCUCUUACGAAAUGUUCACCUGUGUCGUUGUAUCGUUACGAAGAUUGCGAAGUUAGGAGCAUGUAUUUCAGACUUUUCCGAUGCAAUCAAAAAGAUUUUUGAGCCAUAUCCGAUUAGAGACAACUCUUCUUUUGGCUCUAUAGCUGAAGUAUGCAACAAGCUCGUUAAAAUUAAACAAACAAAUCACAAGCAUAAAUGUAACGAGCCGAGAGGGCAUGUUAAGCUAGUAAGAUUCCUAAGGGGAUGGAUUUUACUGCUCCGAUUUGGAUUGCAGGUCAACGCAAUAAGCAAAUGUUCGUUCGUCAACUGUUAACGAAAUCUGUAAACAGUUGUCCUGAGCGUUAACGAAGUUGGUAUUUUCAUCAACCAAUCAGAGCCCGGUGGCCUGUUCACUGGAGUGUUGAUGGGUUUCACUCCCUCAACAAGAAUCGUCAACAGGUUCGAUAACGUGGUCCAGAGCACGUUCACGAAACUGUAAACUAUGCUGAUGAAAAUUAAAUUACACUUAAUUACGGGCGAUUUGGAGGGAAAGGCUGGGCCGCGCCCAUUUAAUCACAACUAGAGUUAUACUGAGAGUUAAGACAAUGUGAAUCCGUUUCUGAUUGGUUACCGUAUUUUAGGCCUCCUCAAACGGGAAUAAAGAUUACACUUUAACCAAUUGCAAAGAUUACGAUCUGGAAUGGACCGAGGAAUCACGAGUUCGACGAGGAAAAACGGAAUGAGAGAAGGAACGGAGAAAGGAAUUUGAGAAUGAGCCGAUCAAAGAUUACGAAAAACGAUCGAUUUGUGUAAUCUUUGUUCCCGUUUAUGACUCCAUGAGGGAGUGCUGUCUUAACUCUCAUUAUAAAGGGACUCUAUAAUCACAACCGCGGGAGAACAAAAAUUUGUUUUGAUGACGUUUUUCGUUAACUAUUUACGGAUUUCGUCAACAGUUAACGAACGAAAAUUUGCUUUUUAUGGGGUGUCUGUAGAUCGCUAAAGAUCUCAUACUAGCUCUCCUCAAGACAUUAUUGCUUGGGUGUUAAUAGAAUCUGGUGGUCCUUACGAGCUUUGGUGCACAUUCCUUGCUACAUGAUCCGUUGACGUAGUUGUUAAGCUUCGAUGCGCGUAGAACUAAAAAAAGACAAAAAAGUUGGAAAAAGCUUUACAGGACUCACCCAGUAAAAGUUCAAAGCCAAGCUAGAGUUUUAAUGACCCUCUCCCUCUGGCGAGCGUUGUUCAUCAUCGUUCGUCAUUCCAUAGAAUCUCAUUUGUAUGACGCGCUGGCGCAUCAUACAAGUGCGCAGUGCGCACUCAUUAAAUCUUCAUUUUUGAACAAAAAAGUAAUUGAUAAAAGGAGGUUAAAGUGAGUCAGUAAUUUAGCGAGUAAAGUUGGUAAGUUUGAAUAACGUCAUUUAUUGUUUUUUUCUUCACAUGCGCUAAUCACGCAUUUUUAGUUUUAAGCUUAGGAUUUAUUCUUGUAAUUCAUCAACUGCGUGCUCUUUAGAAAAAGAAUAAGGACGCGAAAGAUCAAAUUAAGACGGGUUUUUCUUACGACUUUAUGACUUUCUUACUUUAUGGCUACACCAUAUAGAAAAUAUAAUAAACUCAGGGUAUUCGACGGGUUUUGAAGCCUCCCAGGCAUCAAUUAUCUGCACACAAUAUUUAGAAUAGGGGUUUAGAUUUGCUGCUGAUGUUAUUUUCUAUUCUUGUUUUUCAAUUUUGUAAUUUUUGUAAUAAUAUAAUCUUACAAAAUAAAUCCUUAUCAAUUUCAUAUAAAAUUUAUGUUUUCAUUUUUUUCUUGUUUUUAUCGCUAUGAGAUUGUAAUAUUUCUCGAAUGAAAUAUAGUGCGUAAAAUGUAUGAAACUUCUUCUGCCUCCUCUUCUAUCACUUUCUCAUCUCCCUCCUCCUCUUACUCUUCUCCUUCUUUUUUCUUCGUUCUAUUUUCAGGAUUUUCCUCUUCGUCAAAUUUUGAAAAGGGCAAAUUUUCACCCUGGCAAACACAAGCAUACCAUUUGAGUUAGUAUAUCUCUAACCAGAAAUCUUAUGUAUCCUACGAUCUUUUUUCAGAAACACCUUCCAGAAUGGAUUUAAAACCCGCAUUAUUUUCCUAAACGGAGACUAGGUCUCAUCGUCCAAACUAUAGCACAUCGAUGGCUGGAUUGCGAAACCACGUAUCUCGAUUCCGAUGUUUUAAAAUUUUCUCUCUUAUUUUAUUUUUUCGAAUGGAAGAAAAGUCAAACUUAUUGCUUGUUUAGACAGAAUGUUCUGCUUACAGAGAAAAAAGGUCAAGGACAUUUUUAAAAAAUUACGUUGACUAGUUUUCCAAAGAAAAAAUAAAGUAUGACAGAGAGUCUGCCAUGUCGCAAACAAAGAUACGUAGUUUUGCACUCAGGCCGUUGGUAUGUAUACCCAGAAUUGCUCCCCACCCUUUAAAAUUUUUCAAACAUAAAAAGUAAUGUUACUUGGAUUCAAUAAUGUGUUAUAGCCUAUGACAUUUAUAUUCCAUUUUAAAGUGUUCUGAGACCCUAUGGUCAUGAGAGAAAAAUCAAUUAGAUGAUCCCGUAAAGAAUUAUCGUAAUACUAAAGCAGGAGACAAUGAAUGGCAUUGUUGAAAUAAGCGCCUUGCCUGCUAUGUAUUUGUUUCGAUGUGCAUGUAGAGAGGUAUCUUUCGUUAAUGAAGGCGUUCCGCUUGCGGACUUUUCUCAUGCUAUUAUUCACUCCGUGUUUCAUCCUGCCCUUUUGUUAUCCAACACGUGAGUGCAGUGAUGUUCGUGCGCAAAAGUCCAAAUAGCUGCCUAAAAUGUUCAUCCUCAUGGAGGAAACAGCUCUAAUUCUUACAAAUAUUCAGACAAUUUUCAUGGAUAAAAAAAUAGUUUAUUGAAAUAAAUUAACAUAAAAUAAUUAAAAAGACACAAAAACAAGGCGUAAAUCAAAAUAAAUCAACAAGAAAAAAUCAAAAUUAGAUGAGAGAACGUAAAUUGAAAUCAAAUCACUCCAAAUAAUUUAAAUUUUAAGACUAAUAAAAUAUUAAAACAAAACAAUCACGGAGAAGGAGAUCCAGCUAACACAAAGAGUUGUUAAAUGUUGAAAUAUGCUUCAGUUAUGAGAGCAUGUAGCGAUGGACCAAAAAGAUAACUCCAUACAUUAAAUAAUAAAUAACGCGAACGACAUUAAAAAAAUUAAAAAAGGCGCAGAACCUAUACUCUGGUUGAGGGAAGAUAAACUCGGACCCAGAAUAGAUUGACAAAUCUAAAAAAAAAUUUUUUUGAUUGAGUAGGUAUGAAUAAUGACGAAGUAUAAAAAUACGAAAUUAGAAAUAUAAGAAAAAAAUCGGCUUUUAUCGUUUAUAAAAAUAAUACGAGAUUAUUCUCUUCUAUCUUCUGAAGAGGAUAUGAGUUUCCUGAUUGAGGUCUUUCCAUCUUAUUCGUGAAAUUGUCCAGGAUAUUACAACAUAAUCACUAGGACAAUCUUUUCUCAUGAGCUGAAUUUUGUCUUUCUCUUUUUUGUCUUUUUUAAAAUUCAUUACUCGUGCAAACUAAUGUUAUUGAUAUGUGUGCAACCUAUUCAUCAAGCCAAAUUAAUGUAAAGCUAAACAAAAUUUUUGGAAAUAAUUAAACUAAAACAUAAUGAAUGGAGAACAGUAAUUUCAAACAUUUUAUGGUUUUCGAUUUUAGCGUUUGAGUGAUCAAUUAAUAAAUGAUAUUUGAUCAGUCCUUCAUAAUCAACACAGUUGGUACUUAAGAGACCGUCAGUGCCGUUAAAGGCUUACUAUUAGAGACCUGGAUCAAUUGCACCCAAAUUGAUCAAAAUGAAUCUCCAUUUUAAAGAAAUCGACCACAAUACGUAUAUAUCAAAGCACAGGUACUUAUUGAUAAGCAAAUUUUAAUUUGGCACGUUUGCAUUAGCUAUUUCCAAUUGUUCUAUGCCUCAGGUUUGC
rnacentral:lncRNA from 1 species